ACUGAAGCUGGGAAAACCCGGAAGCAAUAUCAUCCACUCAUUAAUCGCUCUCUUAUGUUUGUUUCAGUUGGAGAUGCGGUUGCCAUUGUUGUAUUGGCAGGUUACCGUUCUAUGCAUCAAGGAAAAACACCUUUGAUUGAAGGAUAAACCAACAAAUAUUCACUAUUCACUGGCCGAAUCCUCUUUGGAUACAUACAGCUGAUCCUGUGGAGCUCUCAUUUGCUUUCAGAUAACUUUCUCAGCUCCUUUCUUCAGGUUUAGACAGUACUUCCUGAAGACCUCUGUUGUCACAUAAAGCCUAAAGUCCAGAGUAAACAAGAACUUCAUCUCCAGUCUGUUCAUUUCUGCAGUGCUCA